CCAGCUCUGGUGCCUGGAGCAGCUCUGCCCCCCUCUCCCCUGCCCUCGGUGUCUGCAGAGCUAUUCCUCUCACAAGUUCUCACCCCGCUCUUCUCUGGCUGCAAUUCCAACUGUGCAACAGCUUUUUGUUUUGAUUUUCUUCUUCAAUCUGUUAUCCCAGAGGUGUUACCACCAUUUCUAACUGGCCCAGGCUUGGCCAGCAGCAUGUCCAUCUUUGGAGCCAGCAGGGAUUGGCUCUGCUGGACAUGGAGGAAGCUUCUGGCAGCGUCUCACAGAAGCCACCCCUGUAGCCCCGCUGCUACCAAAACCAGGACACGCAAACCCAAUACACUGAGUGACAUCCCCUUCCCUCAUCACCUGAGCCUGGUUCUGUCUUCCCUUCAGAUCUCUUUAAAUUACAGAGGUUUCAGCCCCCCCUCAGUGUAGUUGGACCUGUUUGGGCUCCAGCCCAGACAAAGCAUCGCCUGCUGCAGUGGACAGUGUCACGUGGAGUGGUGUCACUUCAGUGCCUCGAGCCUAGCAAGCACUGGGUAGCCCUCCGUGCCAUCAGGGCUGUGCUUGCCCUGCCAGCUCCAAGGCACUGGGGUUGUUGUUUGUUUCGGGGGUUUUUUCUGAGCCUUUGAAUCCCGUUCUCAUCCCCUCUCAUGUUUUCCUUUUUUCCCUUUGUAGAAGGAAUGUAAGGCUGAGGCAGAGACAAGGAAACACCUUGUUCUAAGUGUCACUGCUGCUUGUGCUGAGCUGCUGUGCCAAAGGCAAAUCCAGGGUGAGGAGCUGCCUGGAAUAGUUCCCUGUCUAAUGGAAAGCAGAGGGAUGUGUGAGCUGGACUCCUGAUGGGAAGGAGGAGAUUACAAGCUGUCAUUUGACCACGAGCCGGAUCUCUCCUGUGCUGCCGCCAAUUUAUUGCCUCCCCAAGGUGCCAUAAACCCCCUCCAAGCCCUGCCCGGGGGGAGGACACGACCCCCACGUGCACGAAGGGCUGCGAGGGGAAGCAGGAGAGCAGCUCCCAGAGGUUUCCAUCACUUGUUUAACCUGGUGGCCCCUGAGCAGCAGCGGAGUGAGAAAUGGCUUCUCCAGGGGCUCUGCCCUUGUGGAUAAUUACCUGGAGGUUGCUGUCGAGUGCAGGAAGGGAGGAAGGAGAGGCUCCUGCGUGUCAGAAGCUGCUGAGGUGGCCGUUGUCACCGUGCUGGGGGACACAGCACUGAAAUCACGUCCCAAUAACCUGUUAACACCAUGACUGAAACCUCCUACGUAAGCAGAACGAGUCAGCUCUGUCCUUAGCAGGGCAAAACGCCCCUUCAUUUUCAGUGUUUGUGGUUUCUCUGCAGAGGUUGUUGCUGUCCUUGGCUCUGUGUCCUGGUUUCACAGCCCUCAGUGCACUGGCAAUCACACUGACCAUGCUGAGAAGCCAAAAAAAAAAAAAAAAAAAAGGGAAAACCGGGGAAAACUGAGAACUGGAGG